AAGAUGGAGAAGCUGGGACAGAGCAUCAUUUCCAUCAGAAGCUAACAGAACAUGUCAGCUGCUGCAUAACCAAUUAACACUCCAUGGUAGUGAACUAAGGAACAUCCCCCAGUUCCCAAGCUUUCCUUGAUAAUUCCAUUGUAUGUGUGGUAAUUCUAAGGCUUAAGCAAACUAGCAGAGACUGUAUUCAUAUGUAGUCUAAUCAUCAUCAUUAUAGAGAGAAAGUAAACAAUCAGUUGAUCUGGCCCAGGAUUGGCUUCUGUGUUGGGUACACAAUAGUCACAUAAUCUAAGAUGUUAUAAAGUAGGAAACUACAAUAAGCUCCUAACACAGGCAAUGGGAAAUCUUAGUUGGUGAAUGAAUGACAUCCAUGCGAAUACAGGCUCUCCUGAUUGGCAGUUGAUAGUAUUGUCUACAUUAGUUUUGAUUACCAAAUAUGAUCGAAAAAUACAUAAUAAUAAUCAUUGUCAUUUACAGAUUAUUUUCUAGUGUUGCAAACUGAAGAAAGUGCUUUCCACCUAUUAAGACACAAAAUGAAUAGGAUUCUGUGACAGUUUUAGAAUACAGAAUUUAAAACACAUGGCAUUUUUUAAUCAAGUCUGGGUCCAAUGACAUUAAAAAUGACCAUUAUAUUUAUGCUGUUGGGGAAAAUGUUUGCAUCAGAGGACAGAACUGACAAGUGAUGAGGUUGGGUUUCUAGCCUAUACAAUUGGAAUGCAAAGCCCACACUAUUUUUCUCAGUACUCUAUCCUUGCUAAUGGAAGAAAAAUGUUUUCUUCAGUGAGUCAAAACACCAAGUUCUAACUUAAGCUUGGAGGUGGUAGAUAAAGAUUUACCUUUAGCACAGGCAUAAAGACAUUUGAAAAGGAGUUUGAGUGAUUUAGAAAGACAAUAAUAAAUGCCUAUCAAAGAUUUAGGCUACCUAUCUCAAUACAGUUGGUGUCCUUUUGCCUAUGGAAAUGUCUUCACUCUAUGUACAAAUGGACAUCUACACAUAUUUCUUUUCUGUAGAGUUUCUUUAACUAUGUUUUAUUCUGAUUUAAAAAUAAAGGCCACUGAACAAGCAAAUCUCUAAUAGUAUAAAGUCUAGACUUUUGUUGUCUGCUGCUAUUGUUAUUGUUCUCACAAUCUUACCAAAGCUUCAUCUCAAACCUUGUCAAAGAACAGACACUGAAAAACCUUGACACAUUGGUCUAAAGCUCCACUCAAGAAAUAUUUGACACUUGCCUUUUAAAUGACAAUCAAAAUUCUCAAUCUUGACUACUUUUAUUAAAAAACAAAAUCAGGCUGAUCUCACAGUAUUUUAAAGAAACUGGCAGUGAACAAGGUAGGUGCAAUAUGCAGGGAUGAAAACACGUACAAUACAAGGCAGAUAGCUUCUCCAGAAUGCAUUCAUAUCUGCUCACAUUCUAACAGCUACAUGACCUUUACCAUGAAGCCCAUAUGCUUCAAGCUGAAGUAAGUCUGACCAUGUGUCCACAAUAAAACCUUAUCUAAGUGGGAUUCCAUGCACCUUACCCUUCAUUUUGUUUAGAAAAUUAAAGUCUUACCCCAUGACUACAUUUCAUUCUCGGACUACAACAUUUGGCAUAAGAAUUGAUAUAUGAUGAAAUUUGGUCACACAGUAGAGAAUAACUUUUUGAUGGCUUCUGAGAAACAAUUUACUUUUAAAGACUGCUAAUAUAAGAACUAGCCACUUUCCUUUGGGUCUUAAUGGCAUGUGGGUGUAAAACAAGGAAGUGACUCAGUCAUUUUAUGAUUGUAUCAUGCCAGAUCCAGGCAGUAAAAACUAAACCACUGUUUCUAGACAAAAAACAAACAGCAUUAAAUGCACGGCACAGGGCAAGGCAUAGGAAUGGGAUGCUGGGAAGAUGGGGGAUUGAAAGAGUGGCAUGCAAAUGAAGAUUAGACAUUCUUGGAAGCAGGUAGGCUUACUAAGCUGGGGACUGCAAGGAAAGAGGUGGUCUUGCAGAAUUGAGGCUAAAAAGAAUCAACAAGAAAGAACUCUUUGGAUCAGUGCUGGAACAAUGAAGAGAAGCUACUACUCAU
rnacentral:lncRNA from 1 species